rnacentral:rRNA from 1 species
AACGAACGCUGGCGGCAGGCUUAACACAUGCAAGUCGAGCGCCCACUUCGGUGGGAGCGGCAGACGGGUGAGUAACACGUGGGAAUCUACCCAUCUCUACGGAACAACUCCGGGAAACUGGAGCUAAUACCGUAUACGCCCUUUGGGGGAAAGAUUUAUCGGAGAUGGAUGAGCCCGCGUUGGAUUAGCUAGUUGGUGGGGUAAAGGCCUACCAAGGCGACGAGCCAUAGCUGGUCUGAGAGGAUGAUCAGCCACACUGGGACUGAGACACGGCCCAGACUCCUACGGGAGGCAGCAGUGUGGAAUAUUGGACAAUGGGCUCAAGCCUGAUCCAGCCAUGCCGCGUGAGUGAUGAAGGCCCUAGGGUUGUAAAGCUCUUUCACCGGUGAAGAUAAUGACGGUAACCGGAGAAGAAGCCCCGGCUAACUUCGUGCCAGCAGCCGCCGUAACAC